ensembl:lncRNA
UUCAUUGGAUGUGCAAAGGAUAAAACUCCUUGGAGCAAGUUCCCAGUCUUCUCAUCCCCUUUCUGGAAAAGUGCAAUUCUUGGAAGUAAGGUGAUCCAGGUUGGAGAGCUCCUUCCUGCCUGGCUCAGAGGGCUGGAUAAUUUCAGUUUUCCAGUUGACAAGUAAGAAUUUCCAACCACAAGCCCCAGUGAUUCACCUCUCAACUUUGUGUCAUGCUUGCUGCUUGAUCUUUCCAAGAAAAUGUGGGCUUUUUCAUUUGAGGAAAGGGCUGCAUGUCCCGGCUGAACUGACAGAGCCCUCCAAUCAUCAGCCAGGACUAAAGGAAUCGUUUCUUUGUUCUCUGAGCCAUGUUUCUGGCACUUCUCUAUUGACCCUUCCUUUCCCGUUGCAUAAACCUUAUCUUCGCUCACAAGUCCUUCCUCAAGACCAGUGCUUCUUAUCAUCUCCUGUCCACCACCCACCAUCCUGUUGUCACAUUUUCCAGCAAACACUUUGAGUGUCAGCCCAUGGUCAGCACUACUGUGGGGAGCUCCCCAAAGUCACCUCCGUGAGUCUCUUGGUAAGCCAUCCUUGGACAACAGCCACACCAGGCUGAGCCCACUGCCUCAGGUGUGCAGGAUGGUUUGUCCUUGUACUCCUCUAUUAGUCAAUGCUUGCCUGUUCUGGUGCUAUAUUUAAAUGGUGAACUACUUGGAGCACACCCUGUCCUUUCAUUUUGUGAUUGCACAGUGUCUCAUAUAAUGGGGUAUGGCUUCGUGACUUGUGCUGCUAGGAAUGGACGCAGAGCAAAUAAAUAAUAUUAAUGCUAAUAAGAGUCUUUCCUUACUUCCUGCUUUUGUCUUCCUUCUCUUUGUUUCUUUCAUCUUCACUGUUAUAUUAGUAUUUAUAUUACUUAAAUAAAAGAACUAC